UACGUAGGGUGCGAGCGUUGUCCGGAAUUACUGGGCGUAAAGCGUGCGCAGGCGGUUCUAUAAUACAGAUGUGAAAUCCCCGGGCUCAACCUGGGAACUGCGUUUGUGACUGUAGAGCUGGAGUACGGUAGAGGGGGAUGGAAUUCCGCGUGUAGCAGUGAAAUGCGUAGAUAUGCGGAGGAACACCGAUGGCGAAGGCAAUCCCCUGGACCUGUACUGACGCUCAUGCACGAAAGCGUGGGGAGCAAACAGG
rnacentral:rRNA from 1 species